GACGAACGCUGGCGGCGUGCUUAACACAUGCAAGUCGAACGGAAAGGCCCUGCUUUUGUGGGGUGCUCGAGUGGCGAACGGGUGAGUAACACGUGAGUAACCUGCCCUUGACUUUGGGAUAACUUCAGGAAACUGGGGCUAAUACCGGAUAGGAGCUCCUGCUGCAUGGUGGGGGUUGGAAAGUUUCGGCGGUUGGGGAUGGACUCGCGGCUUAUCAGCUUGUUGGUGGGGUAGUGGCUUACCAAGGCUUUGACGGGUAGCCGGCCUGAGAGGGUGACCGGCCACAUUGGGACUGAGAUACGGCCCAGACUCCUACGGGAGGCAGCAGUGGGGAAUAUUGCACAAUGGGCGGAAGCCUGAUGCAGCAACGCCGCGUGCGGGAUGACGGCCUUCGGGUUGUAAACCGCUUUCGCCUGUGACGAAGCGUGAGUGACGGUAAUGGGUAAAGAAGCACCGGCUAACUACGUGCCAGCAGCCGCGGUGAUACGUAGGGUGCGAGCGUUGUCCGGAUUUAUUGGGCGUAAAGGGCUCGUAGGUGGUUGAUCGCGUCGGAAGUGUAAUCUUGGGGCUUAACCCUGAGCGUGCUUUCGAUACGGGUUGACUUGAGGAAGGUAGGGGAGAAUGGAAUUCCUGGUGGAGCGGUGGAAUGCGCAGACAUCAGGAGGAACACCAGUGGCGAAGGCGGUUCUCUGGGCCUUUCCUGACGCUGAGGAGCGAAAGCGUGGGGAGCGAACAGGCUUAGAUACCCUGGUAGUCCACGCUGUAAACGGUGGGUACUAGGUGUGGGGUCCAUUCCACGGGUUCCGUGCCGUAGCUAACGCUUUAAGUACCCCGCCUGGGGAGUACGGCCGCAAGGCUAGAACUCAAAGGAAUUGACGGGGCCCCGCACAAGCGGCGGAGCAUGCGGAUUAAUUCGAUGCAACGCGUAGAACCUUACCUGGGUUUGACAUGGAUCGGGAGUGCUCAGAGAUGGGUGUGCCUCUUUUGGGGUCGGUUCACAGGUGGUGCAUGCCUGUCGUCAGCUCGUGUCGUGAGAUGUUGGGUUAAGUCCCGCAACGAGCGCAACCCUUGUUCACUGUUGCCAGCACGUUAUGGUGGGGGCUCAGUGGGGACCGCCGGGGUCAACUCGGAGGAAGGUGGGGAUGACGUCAAGUCAUCAUGCCCCUUAUGUCCAGGGCUUCACGCAUGCUACAAUGGCUGGUACAGAGAGUGGCGAGCCUGUGAGGGUGAGCGAAUCUCGGAAAGCCGGUCUCAGUUCGGAUUGGGGUCUGCAACUCGACCUCAUGAAGUCGGAGUCGCUAGUAAUUGCAGAUCAGCAACGCUGCGGUGAAUACGUUCCCGGGGCU
rnacentral:rRNA from 1 species